UACAGAGGGGGCAAGCGUUGUUCGGAAUUACUGGGCGUAAAGGGCGCGUAGGCGGCCUGUUAAGUCGAACGUGAAAUCCCCAGGCUCAACCUGGGAACUGCGUCUGAUACUGGCAGGCUUGAAUCCGGGAGAGGGAUGCGGAAUUCCAGGUGUAGCGGUGAAAUGCGUAGAUAUCUGGAGGAACACCGGUGGCGAAGGCGGCAUCCUGGACCGGUAUUGACGCUGAGGCGCGAAAGCCAGGGGAGCAAACGGG
rnacentral:rRNA from 1 species